ACUGGCGGAGGUCGACGUCCCGGCGGGCAGCAGGCGGUGGGCGUCGCUGCCGCUCUCCGCGUGGCAUGGAGGGCACGGCGGUGGCAGUGUGCGAGAUUUUGAAAUAUUUAAUAAUUCACUGGAAGUGUGAAACACGAGUAUCAAGUGAAGCAUUGCUAGAAGGACAGCUAGUGAUUUCCAUGGAAGCAUUAAAUUCUAAGCACCAGGCAGAUACUCUUCAUUGUAUAACAACGAUUGCUUCAGCAGGAAACGUUUAUGGUGGCUUGGUUCUCAAGAAGUUCCUAAAAGGUAAAGAAUUA